ACUUCUCAGCUAGCACAGUGACCACCUCUUCCAUGCUGUUUGAAGUUCUGGCUGUCUUGUGGGGUCCAUUGUUACCACAGUAGAAUCCAACCAAGAAUAUUUGGAAACUACUCAUACCAGAAUCACAUGAAUCUUGUGAACAGUGAAGCUGUCUACACCUUCUAAAUCAAUCCAUACAACAACUGGGAGAGCAAAUGGAUCAUUUGAAGUGAUACAAAGUAAAGAACAACAAGCAGAAAAUGAAUCAUGUGGAUUGAGACUGCACCUGUCAGCACAUAGAGAGGAAUGAAAAGUUGAAGC
rnacentral:lncRNA from 1 species